GAACCUGCGGAGGGAUCAUUACCGAGUUUACAACUCCCAAACCCAAUGUGAACGUUACCAAACUGUUGCCUCGGCGGGGUCACGCCCCGGGUGCGUAAAAGCCCCGGAACCAGGCGCCCGCCGGAGGAACCAACCAAACUCUUUCUGUAGUCCCCUCGCGGACGUAUUUCUUACAGCUCUGAGCAAAAAUUCAAAAUGAAUCAAAACUUUCAACAACGGAUCUCUUGGUUCUGGCAUCGAUGAAGAACGCAGCGAAAUGCGAUAAGUAAUGUGAAUUGCAGAAUUCAGUGAAUCAUCGAAUCUUUGAACGCACAUUGCGCCCGCCAGUAUUCUGGCGGGCAUGCCUGUCCGAGCGUCAUUUCAACCCUCGAACCCCUCCGGGGGAUCGGCGUUGGGGAUCGGGACCCCUCACCGGGUGCCGGCCCUGAAAUACAGUGGCGGUCUCGCCGCAGCCUCUCCUGCGCAGUAGUUUGCACAACUCGCACCGGGAGCGCGGCGCGUCCACGUCCGUAAAACACCCAACUUCUGAAAUGUUGACCUCGGAUCAGGUAGGAAUACCCGCUGAACUUAAGCAUAUCAAU
rnacentral:rRNA from 1 species